GCUCUGAGCAUCUGAUCAGUCUGCCUUUUCGGUCCAUAGCCAGUUCAGUCCUUUGUUUCCGUGAAGCAGCCCAUAAAGUACCACGUUCCUGGUGUCGGCUGCUCUGCGUGACUGAGAAGGUGGUACAUCUUGUAGAGUCGGGACCUUGUCUUUCCCUGGCUAUAUCCUGGUGCGUGAUGUCUGAUGCACACUGGUGUUCAGUGAAUGAGGCAGCGGGUCAGGCUCAUGGCUGUGCUC